UAUGAAGAACGCAGCGAAAUGCGAUAAGUAAUGUGAAUUGCAGAAUUCAGUGAAUCAUCGAAUCUUUGAACGCACAUUGCGCCCCUUGGUAUUCCGGGGGGCAUGCCUGUUCGAGCGUCAUUAUAACCCUCAAGCCUAGCUUGGUGUUGGAGCAUGCUACCUAAGCAGCUCUUAAAAUCAGUGGCAGUGCCCUUCGGCUCUAAGCGUAGUAACUUCUCUCGCUAUGGAACCCGGAGGGUACGCGCCAGAACCCCCAACUUUCUAUGGUUGACCUCGGAUCAGGUAGGGAUACCCGCUGAACUUAAGCAUAUCAAUAAGCGGAGGA
rnacentral:misc_RNA from 1 species